CAUGUAGGCGGUUUUUAAGUCUGGAGUGAAAAUGCGGGGCUCAACCCCGUAUGGCUCUGGAUACUGGAAGACUUGAGUGCAGGAGAGGAAAGGGGAAUUCCCAGUGUAGCGGUGAAAUGCGUAGAUAUUGGGAGGAACACCAGUGGCGAAGGCGCCUUCUGGACUGUGUCUGACGCUGAGAUGCGAAAGCCAGGGUAGCGAACG
rnacentral:rRNA from 1 species